rnacentral:misc_RNA from 1 species
UGUAGGAGCCGGCUUGCUGGCGAUGAGGUCCUCAAGUCUUGAACUGCCUUAAGGCCGCCAUCGCCAGCGAGCCGGCUCCUACA